ensembl:snRNA U7 U7 small nuclear RNA
UAAGGUUAGAGGUCUUUUAGAAUUUGUCUAGCAGGCUUGGAGAGCCCCA